rnacentral:rRNA from 1 species
UACGUAGGGUGCAAGCGUUGUCCGGAAUUAUUGGGCGUAAAGAGCUCGUAGGCGGUUUGUUGCGUCGGCUGUGAAAUCCCGAGGCUCAACCUCGGGUCUGCAGUCGAUACGAGCAAACUAGAGUGUUGCAGGGGAGACUGGAAUUCCUGGUGUAGCGGUGAAAUGCGCAGAUAUCAGGAGGAACACCGGUGGCGAAGGCGGGUCUCUGGGCCGACACUGACACUGAGAGACGAAAGCUAGGGGAGCGAAUGGG